rnacentral:lncRNA from 1 species
AUAUAUGGAAGAAGCGUUGCCAAAGUCAAAUUGGGCGGUGAUAAAAAUCCAAAACCCCUUUCACUGCAUGCCCGUCAGACCGACCGUGGUUCGUCCUCACCUCACCUCACCUCACCUAGAAUAUUUCAGCUCGGGAAAUACGUUUGGCCUACCACUAAUGCACUGCACGCCAAUAACAAAAAGAUGAAACGAAACAAAACGAAACGAAACGAAACGCGCUGGUAUGAGAUUUGAAUACAAAAAGAAACGAAUGGAAAAAAGUAAAUUAGAAGAAGAAGAAUAAACAAUUAUAAUUAAAAAAUUGGGAGUUUAUGAAAUUCAUGUGUUUGAAUUUUAAAUUGAGAUUACCCGUUUAGUAAAUAUUCUCGUGUUGGGAAAUAGAAGAGUAAUAUUCAGAUUAUUAUAAAAUGCUACCGAUUUUUCACAAAGUAAAAUCAUAAUAUUUUCAAGUUAAUUUAAAAUUAACAUAAAUUUAUUUAUUUUUAAUUCAUAAAUUGAUGAUUAUUGUAAAUUAUUUAGAAAAUACUAAUAAUUACUAUAAGUUUUAUUCACUACAAGAAUUUGACACAUAUUUUUUUUAACAUCGUUAUUUUUGACCUCAUUCUCAACGACAAUGUCGUCGCCAACGAAUAAUUUGGGCCUAGAAAGUUUAUAUGCUCGUCUGCGAUAGACAAAUGUUAAAAAAUGACGACGUUUUUAUCGAUAUUAAUGUUACUGGCAACGGGGGUUUCUCAAUUGAGUGUUAAUUUACAAUCCCCAAUUAUUUUUCUUCCCUCUCAAAUUUCUUUGGUAGACAUCGUUUGGAUCCUGCCUUCGUUUCUGUUGGGUCAUAAUAUUUCUCCUAUCUUGGGCCGGAUAGAUUGGGCCCAUUUAUCAGUAUAAUCUAUU